UACGCGGUGGCUCGCAGUCGCUCCACGGCGCUCAGACCGUGCGGUUCUCUUUCGGCUUUCGAAAAAAAGCCCGCCAGCAUAGCAGGCGAGCAUCGACUCGAUUUCUCCUUCUCGCUGCGCAAGCGAUACACACACGUAUCUCCAUUCUAAUAUUGAAAUCUCGUAUCAGAUAUUUCCAUCUGAUAGAAAAAUCUAUAUAUCCGCAUAUACUUUUCGUGAAUAGAAUUCAUCAUCUCGCAGAACGCAGCCUCCGAGAAUUUCAUUCGGACACGUUCGCGGCCCGAAUCAUUCGGUCCCUGGAGGAGGACGCGGGAGCGCCACGCUCUCGGUGUUUCUACCCCUGUCGUUUCAGUCAACCGCGAGCGAGCGUCGCGGUGUCACGUGUUUGCGUUGUAUCCGUUUCCGCGUUAACCAAAUAAUCGACAAGGCUUGCGCGAUCGACCAACGAUUCUUCUCACGAAAAUUUACAUCGUUGAAUAUUAUUUGAUCGAACGAACGAUGUUAUUGAUACAUGCAGUUGAUCGAGGAUAUUGAACGGAGGAUUUUUUUGGAACAAAUUUUUUUGGAAUAGACUGGAAGAUCGUUCUAAUAAUCGCGAUCGAAGGUGCAUAGAGGGCACCGGUGUGCGGUCGUUUUCUGUUUACGCUCUCUGUUUUCUGCCGCCUGCCUCUCCAUUGGGUGGCUCGCUCGUGAUCGCCACGUGGUCGUGCCGCGAUCGAUCAGUGGGUGCAUCCUGUAACCGGCCGCGAAGGAAGCGGAGCACGCGAAGCGGAGAUAAGCGGAGAGGAUCACUCGGAACUGGUGCUGCUAGGAAAACGUCCUGCCAGCCAGAUUGGAGUGGAAGCGUUACGAGAGCCUCGUCAAAGAUCGGGAUGCUGAUCGAAACUGAAGCGAGACCCGAAUCUCCCCGAAAGAAUUUCGUCCAAACUUCCACCGACUGUGAUUAAGGAAUUCGGCUUCGAAUCGAAGAGGAACGAAAGUGAUAAGGAUCGAUCAUUGCGGUGUAUAACUUAUACAGGGAAGUGCCUCAUCAGGAAACGAUGACAUGAAUCGAGUAUCUUUUUUAAAUAUCUUCCGAUAGGACAAUUUUUCU